GAUGAAGAACGUAGCGAAAUGCGAUAAGUAAUGUGAAUUGCAGAAUUCAGUGAAUCAUCGAAUCUUUGAACGCACAUUGCGCCCGCCAGUAUUCUGGCGGGCAUGCCUGUUCGAGCGUCAUUUCAACCAUCAAGCCCCCGGCUUGUGUUGGGAACCUGCGGCUGCCGCAGGCCCUGAAAAGCAGUGGCGGGCUCGCUGUCACACCGAGCGUAGUAGCAUACAUCUCGCUCUGGGCGUGCUGCGGGUUCCGGCCGUUAAACCACCUUCAUAACCCAAGGUUGACCUCGGAUCAGGUAGGAAGACCCGCUGAACUUAAGCAUAUCAAUAAGCGGAGGA
rnacentral:misc_RNA from 1 species